rnacentral:misc_RNA from 1 species
AAGUCGUAACAAGGUUUUUGGGUCCUUCUUCACCUGUAGAAGCCUUAUGCUGAGCGACUCUAAAGAAACAGUAUAGUCUUGUUAAGAUUUUCUCAACGAGGCGACGUUCCUAACAUGCUGGAAUUUUCCCCCGGGAUUUAACCAGCAGCCCUCGUGGAUAUCGCCUACGAGGGUUCACAGAUCAGAUAGGAGCGGUCAACCACCGAGGAUUUCACCAUCUUUUCGCGGUUGAUUUUAGAUAUGACCGGUUAUACCUAGCGUGAGGUAUAGAGAAACGUUCCGUAGGUGAACCUGCGGAAGGAUCAUUACCGAGUUAGGGUCCUUCGGGGCCCAAUCUCCAACCCUUUGUUUAUACCACUUUGUUGCUUUUGGCAGGCCCGCCCUUUCGGGGCCGCCGGGGUGUUUAGUCACCUCUGGCCCGCGCUUGCCAGUGGCCCAAUUAAAAUCUUUAAUAAUAAUGCAGUCUGAAUCUUUAUUAAUAUAAUUAAA